GGCCACAGCCUCGCACCUCUCUCCCCACGACCACGGAAACCCUAAUCCAUCUCCACCUACAGCCGCCGACUCCUCUCCCUCCCUGUUCCCGAUUCAGAUCCAUGCCCAGCCUCCCUCCCAGCGCGGCUGCCACACCCUCGAUCUCCCGCGCCGCCGUCCCAACGAUCUCCCGCUCCAUCUUCGUCUCCCACCAUCUAUCGCUCCUUCACCGCCCCACCCUCUCCCCCUAUGCAGCCUACUCAGAUCUGCGAUGGGGGCACCCGCGGCGGUAGCGGCGCUCCGGCAUCCGCGUCAAGGUCAGCCCCUUGCUCGUCUUCAUGGGUGUGGUGGUCGAGGAAGGUGGUUGAGGUCGGAGAGAUAAACGUUCUCGCCUACCCGCUGGCCAGGACCAAGGACGGCUGCCCCGACACUCCGUCUCCUUCACAAUCUCGCGCUGGGAAAGGAGGGGGUGGCCGCUGUUUUCUUCGGCACUCCUUGGCCUUUUUUGCAUCGCCACAGGUGACCUCGCCGGACCACUUGCUGUGAAGGUUGAGGAGAUAACUGAAGUCGAGGGUGCGGUUAAUGACAUCAAAUGUGUUGAUGAAAUAGAGCCUUCUGAAGAACAGAGGAGAAAAAUACAGAAAGGUAAUUGAGGUAGAACAGAAGAUAUUACACUAGUUUCGUUUUGAAGGGUAACACGACUUGGGAUGGAACAAAUGAUGCUACACUUAAGACAGGGAACACGACACACAGAUUAUAUGUAUCUAAAUGUCUGGUGUGAUUGUGAGAUGUAAUUGUAAUCUGCUAUGGUGGUCUGAAUUUUGUAGUUGUGAAUCUGUAGUUGUGCAUUAUAUUA